CCCUUAGAUGUCCUGGGCCGCACGCGCGUUACACUGAUGCAUUCAACGAGCUUAUAACCUUGGCCGAGAGGCCUGGGCAAUCUUGUUAACGUGCAUCGUGAUAGGGAUAGAUUAUUGAAAUUAUUAAUCUUGAACGAGGAAUUCCUAGUAAACGCAGAUCAUCAAUCUGCAUUGAUUACGUCCCUGCCCUUUGUACACACCGCCCGUCGCACCUACCGAUUGGAUGGUCCGGUGAAGCCUCGGGAUUGUGGUUCUUGCCGCUUUAUUGUGGCGUGACCGCGAGAACUUGUCUAAACCUUAUCAUCUAGAGGAAGGUGAAGUGGUAACA
rnacentral:rRNA from 1 species